UAGGGAAUCUUCCGCAAUGGACGCAAGUCUGACGGAGCAACGCCGCGUGAGUGAAGAAGGAUUUCGGUUCGUAAAACUCUGUUGUUAGAGAAGAACAGCGCAUAGAGUAACUGUUAUGCGUGUGACGGUAUCUAACCAGAAAGCCACGGCUAACUACGUGCCAGCAGCCGCGGUAAUACGUAGGUGGCAAGCGUUGUCCGGAUUUAUUGGGCGUAAAGCGAGCGCAGGCGGUCAAUUAAGUCUGAUGUGAAAGCCCCAGGCUCAACCGGGGAGGGUCAUUGGAAACUGGUUGACUUGAGUGCAGAAGAGGAGAGUGGAAUUCCAUGUGUAGCGGUGAAAUGCGUAGAUAUAUGGAGGAACACCAGUGGCGAAGGCGACUCUCUGGUCUGUAACUGACGCUGAGGCUCGAAAGCGUGGGUAGCAAACAGG
rnacentral:rRNA from 1 species